rnacentral:rRNA from 1 species
AUUGAACGCUGGCGGCAGGCCUAACACAUGCAAGUCGAGCGGUAGCACAGAGAGCUUGCUCUCGGGUGACGAGCGGCGGACGGGUGAGUAAUGUCUGGGAAACUGCCUGAUGGAGGGGGAUAACUACUGGAAACGGUAGCUAAUACCGCAUAAUGUCGCAAGACCAAAGUGGGGGACCUUCGGGCCUCAUGCCAUCAGAUGUGCCCAGAUGGGAUUAGCUAGUAGGUGGGGUAAUGGCUCACCUAGGCGACGAUCCCUAGCUGGUCUGAGAGGAUGACCAGCCACACUGGAACUGAGACACGGUCCAGACUCCUACGGGAGGCAGCAGUGGGGAAUAUUGCACAAUGGGCGCAAGCCUGAUGCAGCCAUGCCGCGUGUGUGAAGAAGGCCUUCGGGUUGUAAAGCACUUUCAGCGGGGAGGAAGGCGAUAAGGUUAAUAACCUUGUCGAUUGACGUUACCCGCAGAAGAAGCACCGGCUAACUCCGUGCCAGCAGCCGCGGUAAUACGGAGGGUGCAAGCGUUAAUCGGAAUUACUGGGCGUAAAGCGCACGCAGGCGGUCUGUCAAGUCGGAUGUGAAAUCCCCAGGCUCAACCUGGGAACUGCAUUCGAAACUGGCAGGCUAGAGUCUUGUAGAGGGGGGUAGAAUUCCAGGUGUAGCGGUGAAAUGCGUAGAGAUCUGGAGGAAUACCGGUGGCGAAGGCGGCCCCCUGGACAAAGACUGACGCUCAGGUGCGAAAGCGUGGGGAGCAAACAGGAUUAGAUACCCUGGUAGUCCACGCCGUAAACGAUGUCGAUUUGGAGGUUGUGCCCUUGAGGCGUGGCUUCCGGAGCUAACGCGUUAAAUCGACCGCCUGGGGAGUACGGCCGCAAGGUUAAAACUCAAAUGAAUUGACGGGGGCCCGCACAAGUGGUGGAGCAUGUGGUUUAAUUCGAUGCAACGCGAAGAACCUUACCUGGUCUUGACAUCCACAGAACUUUCCAGAGAUGGAUUGGUGCCUUCGGGAACUGUGAGACAGGUGCUGCAUGGCUGUCGUCAGCUCGUGUUGUGAAAUGUUGGGUUAAGUCCCGCAACGAGCGCAACCCUUAUCCUUUGUUGCCAGCGGUUCGGCCGGGAACUCAAAGGAGACUGCCAGUGAUAAACUGGAGGAAGGUGGGGAUGACGUCAAGUCAUCAUGGCCCUUACGACCAGGGCUACACACGUGCUACAAUGGCAUAUACAAAGAGAAGCGACCUCGCGAGAGCAAGCGGACCUCAUAAAGUAUGUCGUAGUCCGGAUUGGAGUCUGCAACUCGACUCCAUGAAGUCGGAAUCGCUAGUAAUCGUAGAUCAGAAUGCUACGGUGAAUACGUUCCCGGGCCUUGUACACACCGCCCGUCACACCAUGGGAGUGGGUUGCAAAAGAAGUAGGUAGCUUAACCUUCGGGAGGGCGCUUACCACUUUGUGAUUCAUGACUGGGGUGA